GGGAUCGCAGGCCCCCGAGCUGCAGGGGGCAGCAAAGCGCGCCCACCUGCCCGCCUGCCCGAGGAGAACACCGCAGCUCUGCUAAUCGAGGGACAGCCGCAACCCAAAGUUCGGCAGCUUUCCGCCUGAGCUUCCCCUCCCUGAGCGAGGACACUGGAGGGAGGCAGAGACGGAGAGCCCAUGGGCAGAUCUGCAUCCUCCAAAAGCCUCCAUAGCCUCUGGGAAGGAAAUGUAUCGAGGAGGCCUGGAGGGAAGCAGGGAGACACCCAUGAGUCUAAUGAGAUCAAGUGGCCUGAGUGGGUUGAAGUCCUUGGAUCAGACCGUGGAAGCUGGAAUGGAGAGAGAUUUCGGAGGGGCAGCCAGACCUGGAGUGCCGCCAACCCAUUGCCCUUGAGAUGGAGACCACCUCUUUGGUAUUGCAAAGAAGGUCCUUCGUAAUCAUCUAUCCCUCAUCCUCACCCUUCUGCUCCAUUUGAAAGGCCCUCCAGAACAACAUGUCAUUCCUGGGAACCAUCUUUGGUAUUGCAAAGAAGGUUCUUCAUGAUCAUCGUCCCCCAUCCUCACCCUCCUGCUUCAUUUGAAAGGCCCUCCAGAACAAUGUGUCACUACCAGAAACCAUUCGCUAUCUCUGUUCCUUGUUUGUAUUUCUGCACUGGAAAUGGCCUUACAGCUCCACACUCAUCCUUCAGACAUGCAGCUCCUUGGUGACCCCAUCUGCUGGGUGCUGGCCUAUGUCACAUCCAGGUUGCUUUUUAUUCAUUGUCUCAUCUACCAGCCCAUGCCUCCCCAAGGGCAGGGCUGGUCCUGGUUCACUAACCCAUCCCCAGCACCCAUUGGAAUGCUCUAGACUUCAGCCCAGUGAGUCACUAAGAAAGGACAG
rnacentral:lncRNA from 1 species